CCUACGGGUGGCUGCAGUGAGGAAUAUUGGUCAAUGGACGAGAGUCUGAACCAGCCAAGUAGCGUGAAGGAUGACUGCCCUAUGGGUUGUAAACUUCUUUUAUAUGGGAAUAAACUGUUCCACGUGUGGGAUUUUGUAUGUACCCUAUGAAUAAGGAUCGGCUAACUCCGUGCCAGCAGCCGCGGUAAUACGGAGGAUCCGAGCGUUAUCCGGAUUUAUUGGGUUUAGAGGGAGCGUAGGUGGAGUGUUAAGUCAGUUGUGAAAGUUUGCGGCUCAACCGUAAAAUUGCAGUUGAAACUGGCAGUCUUGAGUACAGUAGAGGUGGGUGGAAGUCGUGGUGUAGCGGUGAAAUGCUUAGAUAUCACGAAGAACUCCGAUUGCGAAGGCAGUUCACUGGACUGCAACUGACACUGAGGCUCGAAAGUGUGGGUAUCAAACAGGAUUAGAUACCCGUGUAGUC
rnacentral:rRNA from 1 species